rnacentral:rRNA from 1 species
UGCGCAGGCGGUUUUGUAAGUCUGAUGUGAAAUCCCCGGGCUCAACCUGGGAAUUGCAUUGGAGACUGCAAGGCUAGAAUCUGGCAGAGGGGGGUAGGAUUCCACGUGUAGCAGUGAAAUGCGUAGAUAUGUGGAGGAACACCGAUGGCGAAGGCAGCCCCCUGGGUCAAGAUUGACGCUCAUGCACGAAAGCGUGGGGAGCAAACAGGAUUAGAUACCCUGGUAGUCCACGCCCUAAACGAUGUCUACUAGUUGUCGGGUCUUAAUUGACUUGGUAACGCAGCUAACGCGUGAAGUAGACCGCCUGGGGAGUACGGUCGCAAGAUUAAA